rnacentral:rRNA from 1 species
AUUGAACGCUGGCGGCAGGCCUAACACAUGCAAGUCGAACGAGUGGCGGACGGGUGAGUAAUGUCUGGGAAACUGCCCGAUGGCGGGGGAUAACUACUGGAAACGGUAGCUACUCCCGCAUACCAUCGUAUGUUCCCAGAUAGGAUUAGCUAGUAGGUGGGGUAACGGCUCACCUAGGCGACGAUCCCUAGCUGGUCUGAGAGGAUGACCAGCCACACUGGAACUGAGACACGGUCCAGACGCCUACGGGAGGCAGCAGUGGGGAAUCUUCCGCAAUGGACGCAAGCCUGACCGAGCCACGCCGCGUGAGUGAAGAAGUUUUUCGGAUCGUAAACUUCUGUGGGCAGAGAAGCGUUACCCAAACAAAAAGCAACGGCUAACUACGUGCCAGCAGCCGCGGUAAUUC